GACGAACGCUGGCGGCGUGCUUAACACAUGCAAGUCGAACGGAAAGGCCCUGCUUUUGUGGGGUGCUCGAGUGGCGAACGGGUGAGUAACACGUGGGUAACCUGCCCUUGACUUUGGGAUAACUUCAGGAAACUGGUGCUAAUACCGGAUAGGAGCUACUGCUGCAUGGUGGGGGUUGGAAAGUUUCGGCGGUUGGGGAUGGACUCGCGGCUUAUCAGCUUGUUGGUGGGGUAGUGGCUUACCAAGGCUUUGACGGGUAGCCGGCCUGCUAGGGUGACCGGCCACAUUGGGACUGAGAUACGGCCCAGACUCCUACGGGAGGCAGCAGUGGGGAAUAUUGCACAAUGGGCGGAAGCCUGAUGCAGCAACGCCGCGGGCGGGAUGACGGCCUUCGCGUUGUAAACCGCUUUCGCCUGUGACGAAGCGUGAGUGACGGUAAUGGGUAAAGAAGCACCGGCUAACUACGUG
rnacentral:rRNA from 1 species